rnacentral:rRNA from 1 species
UACAGAGGGUGCAAGCGUUGUUCGGAAUUAUUGGGCGUAAAGCGCGUGUAGGCGGCUUUGCAAGUCGGGUGUGAAAGCCCUCAGCUUAACUGAGGAAGUGCGCCCGAAACUGCAGAGCUUGAGUACCGGAGAGGAUGGCGGAAUUCCCCAAGUAGAGGUGAAAUUCGUAGAUAUGGGGAGGAACACCGGUGGCGAAGGCGGCCAUCUGGACGGAUACUGACGCUGAGACGCGAAAAGCGUGGGUAGCAAACGAGG